AGAUCUCAUUGUCAUCUCUGCGAGCAUCUAGCAACCGGAAAGUCUGCUACGAUGUCGGAUCCAUAUUCAGGGGCCAAAGGAGGUAGGCUCACCUUCAAGGGAGGAGUCUUAGCCUCCCGUAGUAAGGAUAUUGACAAGAAGAAGAAGAAGAAGAAGAAAGACAAAAGUAAAAGCGACGAGAACCCCACGGACGAGGCCGAGAUUUUGUCGUCGGCUGACGGUGUAGAGGGUGAAGACGGAGUGGUGUAUACUAUUGAUGCGGCCAAGCGUAUGAAGUAUGAGGAGCUCUUCCCGGUGGAGACCAGGAAGUUCGGUUACGACCCUAACAACGCCGAUACCAAGGUCAAGUCUGUGGAGGAAGCUCUUGAUGACCGUGUCAAAAAGAAGGCGGAUCGUUAUUGUAAAUAAUCAGGCAUUGGUCAUAAUGGAACUACUGAGAUUCCAGUGAUUACUUGAGACGAUGCUCAUCAUGCUCCACUAAGCAACAGGUUCAACACUACGCCUUAGAUUUCUAGUUUUCAUGGUAUUGUGAUCUAAUAUAGACUCAUCCAGCCAUUACCACCGAAAAAAUGUUGGGACGGCUUAAUCUUUGGUUGUUAGUUUAGUUUUUGUAGAAAAGAAUGGUUUAUGGAUUAUUCCAACAAUUCAGGAACCAAAUAAUUUAGCAUGGAUUGAAUUAUAAUUCUUGACUGCCACAAAAAUCAUUAUAAUAGUGUUAAAGUUAGGGAAGAGGGAAAGGCUGUAAAGGAAUAUGGGAUUUCUCUUGAUUCAUUUUCUAUUUUUGAA